UCAACCUCUUUGCAAUCCAAACCCUGAUUUCUCUCUUUUGGGAGAAGGAAGAAAGUAUACUCUUGAUCCCCUAUCCCUAGUUCCCUCCUUCUUUCAUCCUUUUUACCAUUUCCUUGAGUGUAGAUACUGGUAAGAGAAGGUGCAAUCUCCAGAGAAUAUCAACAAAGUCACGUUGUAAAGAUGACAAGUGAAAAUGAAAGUGAGGAUGAUGAUGACGCAGACAAUGAAAAUGAUAAUGAUAGUUGAUUGGAUCAGUAAUUUACCAUUAUUUGCAAAGGGAAGGAUUCGGUUGAAGUGUGGAAAGGCUAGGAGGAGAAGAAAGGGCUACUCCUAAAAUGAUUUGGCAGAAUCAUGGAUGUGAAGGGACUUUCUAUACCUCAAAUAGGACCCAUCUUCAG